rnacentral:rRNA from 1 species
GUGUCAGCAGCCGCGGUAAUACGGGGGGGGCAAGCGUUGUUCGGAAUUACUGGGCGUAAAGGGUGCGUAGGCGGCUUUCUAAGUUGGAUGUGAAAACUCUGGGCUCAACCCAGAGCCUGCAUCCAAAACUGGAGAGCUAGGGUUCUGGAGGGGAAAGCGGAAUUCCUGGUGUAGCGGUGAAAUGCGUAGAUAUCAGGAGGAACACCGGUGGCGAAGGCGGCUUUCUGGACAGAUACCGACGCUGAGGCACGAAAGCUAGGGGAGCAAACAGGAUUAGAAACCCCGGUAGUCC